UUUUUCGGGAGAACGGUUUGUAGAGUGUGAACGACCCCGGUACCCACGCCGCGAUUUGACGUUUUCAUAAUCUCAUAAUUUUUCUUCGCCCCCUUUUCUCAGUUUCGCGUUUUGUUUUUGUUUACAUCAACAGUUUUGAACUUGUUUUUCUUCGAACUUUUCCUCGGUCAUGUUUGUUUUGGCGAUGUAGCUGGAGUCCGCGUUCGCGUUUUUCUCCUGUGCUUUUCCGCGUUUUCCGUGGUUUCUGUCGUGAAAAUGUUACGAAAAGCAGAAUAAAACGGCCCGAUUCCCAAAGGAGGCAGUUAUCGUCGAGUACCACAAACGUCCAGUGCACCAGCUUCCGAUCUGGCUCAUCCAAAGGAUUUCCUCAUUUAUAUAAUGAAGCAGCAGAUUUUGUGCUCCGGCUUCCGAGUUUGCCGGUUUCUGGGAUGUGGGACAAGAGCUUCAGCCUGUAUCCAUCCAUCCCAUUCGAAACAUCACGCCAAACGGAGGACCUAUUCAUCGAACGGAACCAAUAGGUCGAGUACCAUUAAUCGGAUCAUAACAAAUGGUUCCGAUGUAUGUAUCGAACACAUCGCAUUCUCUAGGUCAUGGUCCAGCCAGGGGACUGAUUCGGCAUUUCAUUCGUAUGAGUAUAGAGCAUAUAAGUUUCAUAAUUAUUGAAUAUCAAAUGUGAUACGUUAUAAUAUGUUCAAAUAAAUUAUUAGUGCUGUGUAAAAUCACAGGUAUUGAGCA